rnacentral:rRNA from 1 species
UGGGGAAUAUUGCACAAUGGGCGCAAGCCUGAUGCAGCCAUGCCGCGUGUAUGAAGAAGGCCUUCGGGUUGUAAAGUACUUUCAGCGGGGAGGAAGGGAGUAAAGUUAAUACAUUUGCUCAUUGACGUUACCAGCAGAAGAAGCACCGGCUAACUACGUGCCAGCAGCCGCGGUAAUACGGAGGGUGCAAGAGUUAAUCGGAAUUACUGGGCGUAAAGCGCACGCAGGCGGUUUAUUAAGUCAGAUGUGAAAUCCCCGGGCUUAACCUGUGAACUGCAUCUGAUACUGGCAAGCUUGAGUCUCGUAGAGGGGGGUAGAAUUCCAGGUGUAGCGGUGAAAUGCGUAGAGAUCUGGAGGAAUACCGGUGGCGAAGGCGGCCCCCUGGACGAAGACUGACGCUCAGGUGCGAAAGCGUGGGGAGCAAACAGG